ensembl:miRNA Mir742 microRNA 742
GGCAGUGCUUUACUCACAUGGUUGCUAAUCACGUGAAAUGUAAGUGAAAGCCACCAUGUUGGGUAAAGUAAAGCUCA